GCCUGGAUCAGAGCUUUUUGGGACACAAUAACAGCUUUGGUGUCUCCUGCUGUGGGGUUGGUGCUUCUCCCCUUUGACAUGUUGGUGAGAUGAAGUUAUGCCUUGGAAGUCUGCAUAAAGGUUUUGUUUUUGUUGAUGUUGUGUGUUUUUUUUUGUGUGUGUGUGUUGUGCAACUUCACCUAUUUUGCAAUCUGAGCAAAGCCAUGGGAGCCCUCCAGCAAGGAAGGACAAGGCCUGGAGUGCGGUGAGAAAGCGCUGGAGAGACAGUGUUGCUUUAGAAAUGGCAGAUGUGUGGUGGCCGGUGUGAGGAUUCACCUGUCCUGGGUGUGAUCUGGGUCAAGACACUCCGCAGGAGAAGUGGGGCUAGGCUACAACAGUGCUGAGCAGCCCCAAAAUCACCAGGACCACCUGUGAGUGCUCAGCACCUUCUUAGACCAAUUAGCAAGCCAAGAAAGGAGCUCCUGUACCAAUUUAAGGAAGAUGCCUUAGAGAUAGGCAGAGGUGAUGCUGUGUAGUCUCCUCAAAUAUCUCCAAGUGCUGUUAGGGGGCAGCUUGGCUCUGCUGUGGGGCGCCAUGGGAGGCAGCAGGCUUAACAAGGGCAACGGCUUCUCCUUGACAAAGUCCACAGGCUACACACGUGGAAGCAUGCAGAGCCCAUACAGUGAUGGCCACUGGCGUCCUGCUGACUGCAAGCAGCUGGGAUGCUGGCUGGGAAGCCCAGGGAACCGGGGGCACGUGAAGAACAGAAUGUUUUCCUCUCUGGAUUCCCUACUUCUUCUUGCCAAGUGUGUGCAAGCACAUCUGCAGCUGCAAUAUCUUGCACAGUCCUUCACCAACAGUCUCGGCAUGACCUCCACA
rnacentral:lncRNA from 1 species